GUUGCAUUUGUUUCUCACCUUUUGUCCUGAGAUCUGGCCCACAGCAGGAGGUGUCUGUCUCCUCCAAGGCUGCAAGAUAUCUGGUCUUCUGCACUGGCUCCUUCAAGGGCCCAACCCUGUCUGACUGCCUCUGAUAUUUCUAACUAACUCAGCUGCCUGUAACAAUAGUAGAGCUAGACUACUGUUUAACAAAGCCUUGAUGGCAUAACUGAUGGAAGCAGUGAUUAUCAGCGGCAGCUGAGGGGAGCACACAAGCUGCCUUUGAAGACGGAAUCUGCUCCAGGCAGACAUGCAGUCUAGCAAACCCGGAAGGGGAACACAUUAAUGCUAUGGGUAUGCAACCAAAAAAUUCAAAAGAGGGAGGAGUCUAGAGAGAAAGUUGCCUAGUUCCUUCUGAAAAUACCAAGGGGGAAAAGGAAGAGUGGACUUUUUUUUUAGGUUUAAAAAAAAGAAAAGGGCCGGGGGUUUAGCUCAGUGGCACAAGCACCUGCCUGGCAAACGCAAGGUCCAGAGUUUGAUGCCUGGUACCGAGAAAAAGAAAAAAAAAAAAGGCCUGCCAGAUACAUGCCAGCAUGGUGAGUGGUCCUUUUUUGGAUCCUAAUCUGAAUGAAUUAAUUAUUUUGUGAUUCAUAUCUAUUGUAAAAUGGUGCAUAUAUAUGAGCUAAACAAAGAAAUUUAAUUCUAGAAACUAUAUGUUUGUUAUUAAGGAACUAUCAAUAAAUGUAUUAGAUGAGCAAUGUUGAUGUGGAAAUAACCCGCCAUGGACAAGAUGAGCUAAGGAGAGAAAGUGGAUAGAAGAGAAAACAAAUGACCCAGCUUAGGGCGACUACGUAUUAGAAGGGGCAGAGAAGGAACGGAGAAAAUGCAGCCAGUUUAUUAUGUGUACAGUGUGCCAACAGCCAGAGAAGCAGCAGGAAAACCAGGAGUGAGGAGUGUCAUGAGCAAGUGUGUCACGAGGUAGAAGAGGGAAGCAGAGUAGAAAAGGCACCAACAGAAUUAAAACAACGGGAAGAGUUGUGGCCAUCGGAUUUGGGAAUGUGGAGAUCCGCCGUACAGGCCUGGAGGUGUGGAGCAGUCUUGAAAUGGUUUGAGUGGAGAAAGACAAGAAAGAAAGUGGAGACCAACAUGACAGCAUGGAGACAUUUGCCCUGGAGAGAAGGAAAGAAAUGGCACGUCUGACAUAUGUACAUUCACCAGUGAAGUUGUCCUGGCUAAAACACCUGGCGUCAGAGUCUACCUGGGCAUCAACUGUCAUCCCGUCAACUCCCCUAGGCUCCCGUACAGCACCCCCUGCCAGCAGGAAGUAGUUAAAGAGAGAAAUCUUCACCCGUUUUCAUAAUAAUCAUAAGAUGCGAUAUGAAAGGGUUGUUGAUCCAGACCGGACACUUUAGCCAGAAAAAGCCUCAGCCGGAAUCAGGGAGCUCCUGUCUCCCUCGCCCCUAGAGAUUUACCUGUAACUCGAUAUCCCCCCACCCUUCGGAAUCUGCCCCUGGCGCCAAAAGUGUGCCAAUGAAAUACCUGUAUAUCUCUAAUGGCCUUAGGGCACUACUCUAAGCUUAGGCUACUUAUAUUCCCCCACGCCAUGUGUGAGAGAGAUCACCAGAUUUCAGCAGCCGGCAUGCCAGUCCUCUCUCUCCGUGUUCCCAGAAUAAAGGCCUCUUUUGAUUUAUACUCCUCAUCUUUUGGGAAUAUUUUUCAUCUUCUAGAAAUAAUCCUAUCAUUCUCCACUGUUGAUGGAAAUGUAAACUGGUUCAACUAU